GUGAAGGGCACAGCUUACCACUGGGACCUACUGCUGGUGGCUCUGAUCGACACGGGGCUGUUCCUGUUCGGUCUGCCCUGAAUCCACGCCGCCUACCCUUACUACCCCAUGCACAUCCGAACCCUGGCCUUCGUGGAGGAACACGUGGUGUAGGGGAUGUUAUGCCCCGCUCUGACCUGCCAGAGUUUCAAGGCCAAGGCUGUGUUUUCUCGGUUAUGGUAUGCUCCCUGGAUAUGCGUAGAUUGAGCUGGAUCGCGAGUGUGAAGGAGACUUGACUGACCACCCUGGUGGCCAACAUCCUGGUGAGGUUGUCCCUCCUGCUGCUGCCCUUCCUGCUGUAGUGGAUCCCAAAGCCCAUGCUCUCCAGCCUGUUCCUCUACAUCACCCUCACUUCCAUUGACAGCAACCAGCUGUUCGAGUACUCAAGGAACAGAUGGCCUACCCCCCGACCCAUUACAUCAAACGGCUGCUCCAGCGAACCAUCCACUACUUCACAGGGCUGCAGGUGCUCCAGCUGCUGGUCCCCUGUGCAUUCGGCAUGUCUCCGCUGCCCUACAUGAAGAUGAUCUUCCCCCUCAUCACGAUUGCCAUGAUCCCCAUCAGGUGCCCGCCCUGACCUCUUCCACCUCCCCGGGGCACCCUCUGAUCUCUCUCCUGGGUCGUGGAGCCUUUGGGCCUAUCUCUUUCAGUCAGUCAUUUAUUCAGUCUUAUU